rnacentral:rRNA from 1 species
AUUGAACGCUGGCGGCAUGCUUUACACAUGCAAGUCGAACGGCAGCGAGGAGAAGCUUGCUUCUCUGUCGGCGAGUGGCGAACGGGUGAGUAUAGCAUCGGAACGUGCCAAGUAGUGGGGGAUAACCAAACGAAAGUUUGGCUAAUACCGCGUAAGCUCUAAGGAGGAAAGUAGGGGACCUAAAUAAGGCCUUACGCUAUUUGAUCGGCCGAUGUCGGAUUAGCUAGUUGGUGGGGUAAUGGCUCACCAAGGCAAUGAUCCGUAGCGGGCCUGAGAGGACGAUCCGCCACACUGGGACUGAGACACGGCCCAGACUCCUACGGGAGGCAGCAGUGGGGAAUUUUGGACAAAGGGGGAAACCCUGAUCCAGCCAUGCCGCGUGUAUGAAGAAGGCCUUAGGGUUGUAAAGUACUUUUGUUAGGGAAGAAAAGCCAGUUUUUAAUAAAAAUUAGUGAUGACGGUACCUAAAGAAUAAGCACCGGCUAACUACGUG